GAAUCCAGGGAAUUCAUGGAUGGAACCCAUGGAUGGAACCCAUUGAUGGAAUCUAUGGAUGGAUGGAAUCCAUGGGUGGAUGGAUGGAAUUCAUGGAUGGAAUUCAUGGAUGAGUGGAAUUCAUGGAUGGAAUCUAUGGAUGGAUGGAUGGAGAAAUUGGGAAGGGUGGGAUCAAAUCACUCGGGAAGGGCUCAGCCCGUCAGGGAUCUCUGGGAAUUUGAGGGUGUUGAGGGUCUCCAGGUUCUUGAGGGUCUCCAGAUGUUGAGGGUCUCCAGCUGUUGAGGGUCUCCAGAUGUUGAGGGUCUCCAGAUGUUGAGGGUCUCCAGGUGUUGAGGAUCUCCAGAUGUUGAGGGUCUCCAGAUGUUGAGGGUCUCCAGGUUUUGGGGCUCUUGAGUAAUGGAGGAUCUCGAGGAUCUCCAGUUUUCCAGGAUAUUCGGGUUUUGGGCAUCUCAGGACCUCUGAGAUCUCGAGGAUCUCCAGGUGUUGAGGAUCUCCAGCUUUUGGGCAUCUCCAGCUUUUGGGGAUCUCCACCUUUUGGGGAUCUCCACCUUUUGGGGACCUCCACCUUUUGGGGAUCUCCACCUUUUGGGGAUCCUCAGCUCUGAAAGCUCUGGAGGAUCUCGAGGAUCUCCAGUUCCCUACGACCUCGAGGGUCUCGGGUUUUAUUGAGGACAUCGAGGAUCUCCAGGCCUCGAGGAUUUUGAGGUGUUCAGGAUCUCAGGAGUGUCCCAGGGCAGGGCAGGGUGCUCAGGAUCCCUCGAGGACAUCCCAGGGCUCUUUGAGGUCCUUUUGGGAUCUCCUGGGGACAUCCCAGUGCCACAGGAGCCGCUUGAAGUCCCUUGGGGACAUCCCGGGGUCCCUUGGGACCACCCUUGGCUUCUUUGGGGCCAUCUCAGGAUCCCUUGGGGACAUCUUGGGCUUCUUCUGGAGUCCAUCCCAGGGUUCUUCUGGAGAUCAUCCCAGGGUUCUUCUGGAGAUCAUCCCAGGGAUCUUCUGGAGGCCAUCCCAGGGUUCUUCUGGAGGCCAUCCCAGGGUUCUUCUGGAGGCCAUCCCAGGGUUCUUCUGGAGAUCAUCCCGGUGUUCUUCUGGAGUCAUCUUGGGCUUCUUCUGGAGGCCAUCCCGGGGUUCUUCUGGAGGCCAUCCCAGGCUUCUUCUGGAGGCCAUCCCGGGGUUCUUCUGGAGGCCAUCCCAGGGUUCUUCUGGAGGCCAUCCCAGGGUUCCUUUGGAGACCAUCCCAGGGUUCUUCUGGAGGCCAUCCCAGGGUUUUUCUGGAGACCAUCCUGGGCUUCUUUUGGAGACCAUCUUGGGCUUCUUUGGGGCCAUCCUGAGGUUCUUUUGGAGACCAUCUUGGGGUUCUUCUGGAGUCCAUCCCAGGGUUCUUCUUGAGACCAUCUCAGGGUUCCUUUGGAGACCCUCUCAGGGUUGUUUUGGAGACCACCCCAGGCUUCUUCUGGAGAUCAUCUUUGGGGCCAUCUCAGGGUUCCUUUGGAGACCAUCUCAGGGUUCUUCUGGACACCAUCUCAGGGCUCUUUUGGAGACCAUCAUGAGGUUCCUCUGGAUGGUUCUUUUGGAGUCCAUCUUGGGGUUCUUUUGGAGUCCAUCCCGGGGUUUUUCUGGAGUUCCCCCCGGGGUUUUUGGGGCCGUGGCGGGCAGGAGGCCGCGGUGACGACGCUGACUGACCGGUGCCCACCUG